AGAAAGCCGACCCACGGAAGCCCACUGAAAUGAAAGGAGCUGGCAUGCCGCAGCACAGCAGUACAUGCAAUUAAAAGGUGAAGACGUAAUCCAGGUCAACUGCUGGCCCCGGGCAAAACUCUCUGCAGUCUACAAAUUGCAAGCAAAGCGUGAGAGAGGAAUAAAGCCACAUGACACGAGGGAAGGAAGGGAGAUGACUUUCUGCCAUUUGGCGUAUGCAUUUUUGCUGGGGAGAAGCAAAGGAUGAGGGCCACGAUGACGGCUGACCCAUUUGAUUUGCCUGGAGGUUUUAUUGUGAAGAUCCAGCGUCAAUUCCAGUUCUCAGCCUUUGCUCCCAAGGUUGCAUAAGAACAGAAGAAUGUGCCAUGUGUCAACCGGAUCACCUUUAUCCUCAUGCCUGCUGACACUCUCAAAGAACUCCAAAAGGAAAGAAAACAAAUGUUUGCUGCCUCCCCGGAUCUGAGCCUUGUCUUCUCAAGAGCUGUUUCCAAACAUGAUCUGGCCCUGGAGAAAAUGUAUUGGCAGAGCUAUAAUUUUGACCUUUGUGAUCAAGAGACAAAUCCCAGGCGGAGCAGAAA